rnacentral:rRNA from 1 species
AUUGAACGCUGGCGGCAGGCCUAACACAUGCAAGUCGAACGGUAACAGGAAGCAGCUUGCUGCUUCGCUGACGAGUGGCGGACGGGUGAGUAAUGUCUGGGAAACUGCCUGAUGGAGGGGGAUAACUACUGGAAACGGUAGCUAAUACCGCAUAACGUCGCAAGACCAAAGAGGGGGACCUUAGGGCCUCUUGCCAUCGGAUGUGCCCAGAUGGGAUUAGCUAGUAGGUGGGGUAACGGCUCACCUAGGCAACGAUCCCUAGCUGGUCUGAGAGGAUGACCAGCCACACUGGAACUGAGACACGGUCCAGACUCCUACGGGAGGCAGCAGUGGGGAAUAUUGCACAAUGGGCGCAAGCCUGAUGCAGCCAUGCCGCGUGUAUGAAGAAGGCCUUCGGGUUGUAAAGUACUUUCAGCGGGGAGGAAGGGAGUAAAGUUAAUACCUGUGCUCAUUGACGUUACCCGCAGAAGAAGCACCGGCUAACUCCGUG